ensembl:snRNA U1 U1 spliceosomal RNA
AUACUUACCUGGCAGGGGGAGAUACCAUGAUCAAGAAGGUGGUUCACCCACAGCGAGGCUCAGCCAUUGCACUCUGGCUUGUGCUGACCCGUGCGAAUUCCCCAAAUGUGGGAAUCUCGACUGCAUAAUUUCUGGUAGUGGGGGACUGCGUUCGCCUCUCCCCUG